rnacentral:rRNA from 1 species
CCUACGGGAGGCAGCAGUAAGGAAUAUUGGUCAAUGGAGGCAACUCUGAACCAGCCAUGCCGCGUGCAGGAAGACUGCCCUAUGGGUUGUAAACUGCUUUUAUCCGGGAAUAAACCUGCUUACGUGUAAGUAGCUGAAUGUACCGGAAGAAUAAGGAUCGGCUAACUCCGUGCCAGCAGCCGCGGUAAUACGGAGGAUCCAAGCGUUAUCCGGAUUUAUUGGGUUUAAAGGGUGCGUAGGCGGCCUGUUAAGUCAGGGGUGAAAGACGGUAGCUCAACUAUCGCAGUGCCCUUGAUACUGAUGGGCUUGAAUGGACUAGAGGUAGGCGGAAUGAGACAAGUAGCGGUGAAAUGCAUAGAUAUGUCUCAGAACACCGAUUGCGAAGGCAGCUUACUAUGGUCUUAUUGACGCUGAGGCACGAAAGCGUGGGGAUCAAACAGGAUUAGAUACCCUGGUAGUCCACGCCCUAAACGAUGAACACUCGCUGUUGGCGAUACACAGUCAGCGGCUAAGCGAAAGCGUUAAGUGUUCCACCUGGGGAGUACGCCCGCAAGGGUGAAACGUCAAAGGAAUUGACGGCGUGAGACGUACGCCGACGGACGACGACGAGGGGAGGAGGG